rnacentral:rRNA from 1 species
CAGCCGCCACGGGAAUACGGAGGGAGCUAGCGUUGUUCGGAAUUACUGGGCGUAAAGCGCACGUAGGCGGCUUUGUAAGUUAGAGGUGAAAGCCGGGAGCUCAACUCCAGAAUUGCCUUUAAGACUGCAUCGCUUGAACCCAGGAGAGGUGAGUGGAAUUCCGAGUGUAGAGGUGAAAUUCGUAGAUAUUCGGAAGAACACCAGCGGCGAAGGCGGCUCACUGGACUGGUAUUGACGCUGAGGUGCGAAAGCGUGGGGAGCAAACAGGAUUAGAGACCCCCGUAGUCCCUGUCUCUUAUAC